UUUCUCUUUCCAUUUUCAGUUGUGUUACUUGAUACUACAACUGCCCUGGGAGAACUAGGAUGGAAAACAUUUCCCUUAAAUGGGAGUUAAGGUUAGACAGAAAAAUGACAGAAUUUCUUCUGUGAAGACAAAUUUAGGCACAGGAACACUUACUAAAGGCUAAUGGGUAAAGCAGAUACAACACAUCAGGCCAAAUGUUUAUCAGGUGUCCAGAGUGCUUCAGAAGAAUCAUGUGUAUAAUAUAAAUAAAUUGCCAGAAAAACAACUCA
rnacentral:lncRNA from 1 species